rnacentral:rRNA from 1 species
UGAACGCUGGCGGCGUGCUUAACACAUGCAAGUCGAACGGAAAGGCCGAAGCUUGCUUCGGUACUCGAGUGGCGAACGGGUGAGUAACACGUGGGUGAUCUGCCCUGUACUUCGGGAUAAGCUUGGGAAACUGGGUCUAAUACCGGAUAUGACAAUCUCUUGGAUGGGGUUGUGGAAAGCUUUUGCGGUAUGGGAUGAGCUCGCGGCCUAUCAGCUUGUUGGUGGGGUAAUGGCCUACCAAGGCGUCGACGGGUAGCCGGCCUGAGAGGGUGUACGGCCACAUUGGGACUGAGAUACGGCCCAGACUCCUACGGGAGGCAGCAGUGGGGAAUAUUGCACAAUGGGCGCAAGCCUGAUGCAGCGACGCCGCGUGGGGGAUGACGGCCUUCGGGUUGUAAACUCCUUUCGCAACCGACGAAGCUUUUGUGACGGUAGGUUGAGAAGAAGCACCGGCUAACUACGUG